AGCCUCGUUGCCGCCUUGCAGUUUGAUCUCAGACUGCUGUGUUAGCAAUCAGCGAGACUCCGUGGGCAUAGGAACCUCCGAGCCAGGUGCGGGAUGUAAUCUCGUGGUGCACCGUUUUUUAAGCCAGUCCGAAAAGCGCAAUAUUCGGGUGGGAGUGACCCAAUUUUCCAGGUGCGUCCGUCACCCCUUUCUUUGACUCGGAAAGGGAACUCCCUGACCCCUUGCGCUUCCCAAGUGAGGCAAUGCCUCUCCCUGCUUCGGCUCGCACACGGUGCGCGCACCCACUGACCUGUGCCCACUGUCUGGCACUCCCUAGUGAGAUGAACCCGGUACCUCAGAUGGAAAUGCAGAAAUCACCUGUCUUCUGCGUCACUCAAGCUGGGAGCUGUAGACCGGAGCUGUUCCUAUGCGGCCAUCUUGGCUCCUCCCCAGAAUAUGGCCUUUUUAAGAAUGCAGUGGAGGUGAUACUAUGGUCAUAAUGACCAGGGGCUGGGUCAGAAGAACUUCAGAUUGAGCCUCUUGAAACAUUUGCUCUUGGAAUUCUCCCUCUCAGGAAACUAACAGCCUGCUAUGAAGCCCAAGCCACAAAGAGAGGCCAAGGGGAAAUAAACAGAGUGUGAUUAUAUGCAAAACCUACAAGAAUGAGGACCUCCAAACUCAGUGUACAGAGUGAUUUUCUGCUGAAACAAUUGGAAAAUAAAAGAGACAUCAGUGUGUGAAUGACGACUUUCUGUUGCUGACUUGGAAGACAGAGGAAUUGGGUCAUGAGCCGAGGAAGGUGGGCAGCUUCUAAAAGGCGGAAAAGAACUGAAUUGAAUUCAAAUCAAAAAAGGUCUGAACCUCAUUUAAAAGAUGGUUUUGUAACUGAAGAAUUGAAAGGAUUUCUUUAUGAACUAGCAUCAUCUUAAGACAAAGGAUAAGGACCCUGAAGACAGCAUUAUAGUGAAUCCCAGAGGUGCUCUCCAAAAUGGUGCUAAUACAGCCAAGAAUACAGUGGCUGAAGUGAGAGGAAGCGAGGAUAUGGCUGACAUUCUCCAAGAAGCAGUGACUUCAGAAGAUGACUGGCAUCUUGAACUUCAGGAAAAUGCUUGGCCUUUUUAACUCUGAAAGUCUGUUUGAAACUCAGAAGAAGAAAAUUAGGUGAAUACAAAACUGCUGCCAAACUUAGAAACUUGGUUAAAUAUCCUGCAGAAAAUAUCAUGGGCUUUUCAGAGUCCAGUUAAAUAUCUACAGAUUAUAUUUCCAGUUUCAUACCUGGGGCAUUAACUCUAUUCAUUUUACUAGCUUUAGUGAAUUUUACUUCUGGAGCAUAACAUUGCAUUGAAAAUGUGUCCUCUAACCUAUGAUAUUUAUGUAUCGUUUAAUAUGAAAUUUAUGAGGUUCCAUUUCUGAUUUCCAAAUGGAUGCAAAUUAGAACACAGGAUAUUUACAUUCUUUCAUUUCUAACCCACAUACAUAAAGUUUGACUUUAAAAUGCCACUGUUCGUGUCUGUUUCAUAGAAGCUCUAGGUAUUUAUACGUCCAUUGUGUCUCUGGCACACUCUGAAUUCCAGUUUUUAAUCUAAUAUUGGGCAGGAAUUGGCUAUAAAAAUACAAUGCCAUUGAGGACAGAGCUGGAUUGCUUUUUUUCUGUUAAUUCUUGAGAACUUUAUAGUUUCUCAGGGAAGUAUAAUUUGUAACCACAUCAUCAUCUAACACUUUUCCUGUCUUUUUUGGAGAUUGACAGUUGAAAAUCUAUAAGAUCUUUUUGCAACUAAGAUCAGGAAAAA
rnacentral:lncRNA from 10 species